GUGCUCACUUCAACAGCACAUACACUUAAACUGGAACAAUACAAAGAAGAUUAACAUGGUCCUGCAAAAGGAUGACACACAAAAUUUGUGACAAUUAGGAAAAUCAG
ensembl:snRNA U6 U6 spliceosomal RNA